GAAAUGCGAUAAGUCAUGUGAAUUGCAGAAUUCAGUGAAUCAUCGAAUCUUUGAACGCACAUUGCGCCCGUCAGCAUUCUGGCGGGCAUGCCUGUUCGAGCGUCAUUUCAACCCUCAGGACCCCCCUUUCGCGGGGAGGGACCUGGCGUUGGGGAUCGGCCCGCCCCCCGUGGCGGCGCCGUCCCCGAAAUCUAGUGGCGGUCUCGCUGCAGCCUCCCCUGCGUAGUAGUUACAACCUCGCAUCGGAGCGCGGCGCGGCCACGCCGUAAAACCCCCGACUUUCUGAACGUUGACCUCGGAUCAGGUAGGAAUACCCGCUGAACUUAAGC
rnacentral:misc_RNA from 1 species